rnacentral:rRNA from 1 species
UCGGGAAUUUUGGGCAAUGGGGGAAACCCUGACCCAGCAACGCCGCGUGAAGGAUGAAGUAUUUCGGUAUGUAAACUUCGAAAGAAUAGGAAGAAUAAAUGACGGUACUAUUUUAUAAGGUCCGGCUAACUACGUGCCAGCAGCCGCGGUAAUACGUAGGGACCAAGCGUUGUUCGGAUUUACUGGGCGUAAAGGGCGCGUAGGCGGCAUGACAAGUCACUUGUGAAAUCUCUGGGCUUAACCCAGAACGGCCAAGUGAUACUGUCGCGCUAGAGUGCAGAAGGGGCAAUCGGAAUUCUUGGUGUAGCGGUGAAAUGCGUAGAUAUCAAGAGGAACACCUGAGGUGAAGACGGGUUGCUGGGCUGACACUGACGCUGAGGCGCGAAAGCCAGGGGAGCAAACGGGAUUAGAUACCCAAGUAGUCCCUGAGCGGGC